GGAUCAUUGUCGAACCUGCCCAGCAGAAAGACCCGCGAAC
rnacentral:rRNA from 1 species